rnacentral:snoRNA from 15 species
AGCUUAUCGGUGAUGUUGUAAAAAUAAAUGUCUGAACAUAUGAGUACAAUAAUGAUUUCAGCAUCAAACUGAGAUGAGCU